CCUGAACGCUGGCGGCGUGGCUAAGACAUGCAAGUCGAACGGGACCCGCAAGGGUUCAGUGGCGGACGGGUGAGUAAUGUAUCGCUAACGUACCCCGGAGCCUGGGAUAGCCGGCCGAAAGGCCGGGUAAUACCAGAUAAUAUCCUGAGGUCGCAUGGCCUUGGGCUCAAAGCAGCAAUGCACUCUGGGAGCGGGCGAUAUCGUAUCAGCUAGUUGGUGAGGUAACGGCUCACCAAGGCGACGACGCGUAGCUGGUCUGAGAGGACGACCAGCCACAUUGGGACUGAGACACUGCCCAGACUCCUACGGGGGGCUGCAGUAACGAAUCUUCCGCAAUGCACGAAAGUGUGACGGAGCGACGCCGCGUGUGGGACGAAGUCCCUCGGGAUGUAAACCACUGUUAGGGGAAAGAAAGUUCUGAUCUACCCCAAAGAAAGGCACGGCUAACUCUGUGCCAGCAGCCGCGGUAAGACAGAGGUGCCAAGCGUUAGGCGGAAUCACUGGGCUUAAAGCGUGUGUAGGCGGAUCGUUAAGUGCUUUGUGAAAUCCCCCGGCUCAACCGGGGAACUGCUUGGCAUACUGGCGGUCUUGAGCCACCUAGGGGCAACUGGAACAAGCGGUGGAGCGGUGAAAUGCGUAGAUAUCGCUUGGAACGCCAAAGGUGAAAACAGGUUGCUGGGGGUGUGCUGACGCUGAGACACGAAAGCCAGGGGAGCAAACGGGAUUAGAUACCCCGGUAGUCCUGGCCCUAAACGAUGUCCACUAGAUCGUGGCGGCUCUGACGUCGUCACGGUCGAAGCCAAAGUGCUAAGUGGACCGCCUGGGAAGUACGGUCGCAAGGCUA
rnacentral:rRNA from 1 species